CCUACGGGAGGCUGCAGUGAGGAAUAUUGGACAAUGAGCGAGAGCCUGAACCAGCCAAGUAGCGUGAAGGAUGACUGCCCUACGGGUUGUAAACUUCUUUUAUAAAGGAAUAAAAUGAGGCACGUGUGCCUUUUUGCAUGUACUUUAUGUAUAAGGAUCGGCUAACUCCGUGCCAGCAGCCGCGGUGAGACGGAGGAUCCGAGCGUUGUCCGGAUUUGUUGGGUUGAAAGGAAGCGUAGAUGGGUUGGUAAGUCAGUUGUGAAAGUUUGCGGCUUAACCGUAAAAUUGCAAUUGAUACUGGCAGUCUGGAGUACAGUAGAGGUAAGCGGAAUUCGUGGUGUAGCGGUGAAAUGCUUAGAUAUCACGAAGAACACCGAUGGCGAAGGCAGCUUACUAAACUGUGACUGACAUUGAUGCUCGAAAGUGUGGGUAGCAAACAGGAUUAGAUACCCGAGUAGUC
rnacentral:rRNA from 1 species